GGGACUCAUCCGAGGCCCCGUAAUCGGAAUGAGUACACUUUAAAUCCUUUAACGAGGACCAAUUGGAGGGCAAGUCUGGUGCCAGCAGCCGCGGUAAUUCCAGCUCCAAUAGCGUAUAUUAAAGUUGUUGCGGUUAAAAAGCUCGUAGUUGAAUCUGUGUGUCACAGUGUCGGUUCACCGCUCGCGGUGUUUAACUGGCAUUAUGUGGUACGUCCUAUCGGUGGGCUUAGCUCCUCGCGGGCGGUCCAACUAAUAUCCCAUCGCGGUGCUCUUCACUGAGUGUCGAGGUGGGCCGAUACGUUUACUUUGAACAAAUUAGAGUGCUUAAAGCAGGCUACCUUCGCCUGAAUACUGUGUGCAUGGAAUAAUGGAAUAGGACCUCGGUUCUAUUUUGUUGGUUUUCGGAGCCCCGAGGUAAUGAUUAAUAGGGACAGAUGGGGGCAUUCGUAUUGCGACGUUAGAGGUGAAAUUCUUGGAUCGUCGCAAGACGGACAGAAGCGAAAGCAUUUGCCAAAAAUGUUUUCAUUAAUCAAGAACGAAAGUUAGAGGUUCGAAGGCGAUCAGAUACCGCCCUAGUUCUAACCAUAAACGAUGCCAGCCAGCGAUCCGCCGAAGUUCCUCCGAUGACUCGGCGGGCAGCUUCCGGGAAACCAAAGCUUUUGGGUUCCGGGGGAAGUAUGGUUGCAAAGCUGAAACUUAAAGGAAUUGACGGAAGGGCACCACCAGG
rnacentral:rRNA from 1 species